CCCACCUGAGCAGCUCUUCAUACCUGUGAGGGUCAGACAUGUGACACUAUCACCACAGACAGGAUGUGAUGUCACUGUUGUCUCCUGUCUGUCUGCCAGGUAGUACUGGUGUUCCUGCAGAUGCCGGAUCAGCGUGGUGUACUUUGACACCCUCCUCAUCCUCGGCAGGAUGAAGCAGCGGGUGAAGUCGUCCCGGCUCAGAGCGCCGUGACCCUCCAUGGCCAGGAUGCCAUUCAGGAACUGGAGGCAGAAGCUGAAGCAGUUGUGGUCUUCCUCAUGGAACCUGAGAGACCGACAGGAGCGACCAGCAGGCAGCAGGAGGUCUUGUGUCCGUCGGUGAAGGGGGACGGCAGGCUCACCGGCGCCUCCUGCAGUCUGCGGCCCUUCAGCUCCUCCCCGCAGCUGGGACACACCUCAGGC